rnacentral:rRNA from 1 species
GAUGAACGCUGGCGGCGUGCUUAACACAUGCAAGUCGAGCGAGCAGACUUGGAGAGUUUCUUCGGAUGGAAUUCGACAUGGGGAGCGGCAACAGGUGGAGAAACGCCUAAUCAGACUGGGCCAUACACGGGGAUAGGGUGUGGAUACGAGAAUUAAUAUUUAAUGACACUUAUCUAGUGCAUGCUAGGUAGGUGAAGGAAUUAUCUGAUUGGGAUGGGCCGGCGUCUGAUUAGCAAGUUGGUGAGGUAACGGCGCACCAAGGGGAGGAUCAGUAGCAGACGUGAGAGGGUGAACGGCCACAUUGGAAGUGAGACACGGUCCAAACUCCUACGGGAGGGAGCAGAGGGGUAUAUUGCACAAGGGGGGAAACUCAGAUGCAGCAACGCCGCGUGAAAGACGAAUGUCUGUGGGGCGUAAAGUUCUGUGUUACGAUACGAAAACUGACAGUAACUAAGGAGAAAGCCCCGGCUAACUCCGUG